rnacentral:tRNA from 1 species
GUCCUGGUAGCUCAAUCGGAAGAGCAACGGCCUUCUAAGCCGUAGGUUGGGGGUUCGAUCCCCUCCCAGGACACCA